GGGUUGUGAGGUUAAGCGACUAAGCGUACACGGUGGAUGCCCUGGCAGUCAGAGGCGAUGAAGGACGUGCUAAUCUGCGAUAAGCGUCGGUAAGGUGAUAUGAACCGUUAUAACCGGCGAUUUCCGAAUGGGGAAACCCAGUGUGAUUCGUCACACUAUCAUUAACUGAAUCCAUAGGUUAAUGAGGCGAACCGGGGGAACUGAAACAUCUAAGUACCCCGAGGAAAAGAAAUCAACCGAGAUUCCCCAGUAGCGGCGAGCGAACGGGGAGGAGCCCAGAGCCUGAAUCAGUGUGUGUGUUAGUGGAAGCGUCUGGAAAGGCGCGCGAUACAGGGUGACAGCCCCGUACACAAAAAUGCACAUGCUGUGAGCUCGAUGAGUAGGGCGGGACACGUGGUAUCCUGUCUGAAUAUGGGGGGACCAUCCUCCAAGGCUAAAUACUCCUGACUGACCGAUAGUGAACCAGUACCGUGAGGGAAAGGCGAAAAGAACCCCGGCGAGGGGAGUGAAAAAGAACCUGAAACCGUGUACGUACAAGCAGUGGGAGCCUCUUUAUGGGGUGACUGCGUACCUUUUGUAUAAUGGGUCAGCGACUUAUAUUCUGUAGCAAGGUUAACCGAAUAGGGGAGCCGAAGGGAAACCGAGUCUUAACUGGGCGUUAAGUUGCAGGGUAUAGACCCGAAACCCGGUGAUCUAGCCAUGGGCAGGUUGAAGGUUGGGUAACACUAACUGGAGGACCGAACCGACUAAUGUUGAAAAAUUAGCGGAUGACUUGUGGCUGGGGGUGAAAGGCCAAUCAAACCGGGAGAUAGCUGGUUCUCCCCGAAAGCUAUUUAGGUAGCGCCUCGUGAAUUCAUCUCCGGGGGUAGAGCACUGUUUCGGCAAGGGGGUCAUCCCGACUUACCAACCCGAUGCAAACUGCGAAUACCGGAGAAUGUUAUCACGGGAGACACACGGCGGGUGCUAACGUCCGUCGUGAAGAGGGAAACAACCCAGACCGCCAGCUAAGGUCCCAAAGUCAUGGUUAAGUGGGAAACGAUGUGGGAAGGCCAGACAGCCAGGAUGUUGGCUUAGAAGCAGCCAUCAUUUAAAGAAAGCGUAAUAGCUCACUGGUCGAGUCGGCCUGCGCGGAAGAUGUAACGGGCUAAACCAUGCACCGAAGCUGCGGCAGCGACGCUUAUGCGUUGUUGGGUAGGGGAGCGUCUGUAAGCCUGUGAAGGUGUGCUGUGAGGCAUGCUGGAGGUAUCAGAAGUGCGAAUGCUGACAUAAGUAACGAUAAAGCGGGUGAAAAGCCCGCUCGCCGGAAGACCAAGGGUUCCUGUCCAACGUUAAUCGGGGCAGGGUGAGUCGACCCCUAAGGCGAGGCCGAAAGGCGUAGUCCGAUGGGAAACAGGUUAAUAUUCCUGUACUUGGUGUUACUGCGAAGGGGGGACGGAGAAGGCUAUGUUGGCCGGGCGACGGUUGUCCCGGUUUAAGCGUGUAGGCUGGUUUUCCAGGCAAAUCCGGAAAAUCAAGGCUGAGGCGUGAUGACGAGGCACUACGGUGCUGAAGCAACAAAUGCCCUGCUUCCAGGAAAAGCCUCUAAGCAUCAGGUAACAUCAAAUCGUACCCCAAACCGACACAGGUGGUCAGGUAGAGAAUACCAAGGCGCUUGAGAGAACUCGGGUGAAGGAACUAGGCAAAAUGGUGCCGUAACUUCGGGAGAAGGCACGCUGAUAUGUAGGUGAAGCGACUUGCUCGUGGAGCUGAAAUCAGUCGAAGAUACCAGCUGGCUGCAACUGUUUAUUAAAAACACAG
rnacentral:rRNA from 1 species